CUUACAAAGGUUGAACAUAAUGAUAGAUGCUGCAUCUGCACUAGAAUACCUACACCAUGGUUAUUCAAUACCUAUUGUGCAUUGUGAUAUGAAGCCAAGCAAUAUACUACUGGAUGAUUAUAUGGUUGCACAUGUUUCUGAUUUUGGAAUUGCAAAACUCUUGGGUGGAGGAGAUUCUAUUACCCAAACCAUGACUCUAGCCACUGUUGGGUAUAUGGCUCCAGAGUAUGGAUUGGAAGGAAUGGCUUCAACAAGAGGGGAUGU